rnacentral:rRNA from 1 species
AUUGAACGCUGGCGGCAGGCCUAACACAUGCAAGUCGAGCGGAUGAGGGGUGCUUGCACCCUGAUUCAGCGGCGGACGGGUGAGUAAUGCCUAGGAAUCUGCCCGAUAGUGGGGGACAACGUUUCGAAAGGAACGCUAAUACCGCAUACGUCCUACGGGAGAAAGUGGGGGCUCUUCGGACCUCACGCUAUCGGAUGAGCCUAGGUCGGAUUAGCUAGUUGGUGGGGUGAUGGCUCACCAAGGCGACGAUCCGUAACUGGUCUGAGAGGAUGAUCAGUCACACUGGAACUGAGACACGGUCCAGACUCCUACGGGGGGCAGCAGUGGGGAAUAUUGGACAAUGGGCGAAAGCCUGAUCCAGCCAUGCCGCGUGUGUGAAGAAGGUCUUCGGAUUGUAAAGCACUUUAAGUCGGGAGGAAGGGCUGUAGGUUAAUACCCUGCGGUUUUGACGUUACCGACAGAAUAAGCACCGGCUAACUUCGUGCCAGCCGCCGCGGUAACAC